AUGCGUCCGGCGUCUAAAAGGUCCCUUUAUGCUAAGAAAUUAAUUUGUAAAAGUUAUUUAACACUCAGACAUCGUCCACAUUACAAAGACCAAAAAACCUUAGCAGAAUUGAAUUUGAACGAUGAAGGUUUAUUGUCUGUUACAUCUAACAAGAAAUGAAACAAUGGAAGAAAUACGUAUUUUAAAUUUUAUGACACAUUCAGAAAAAAAUGGAUUAGUCAUGACGCAUGGUAUUAUUCUCCAUCAGAAGUGUCAGUAUCCAUAGGGUCAUAUUCCGAUUCGUCUUCUUCAUCAGAACCAAUAUUCUCAUCAUCGCUGAAAUCCUUACCCGCGUUUGCUGAUUCAUCGAUAUCACUAUUGUCUUCUAAAUCCGAAACAGCUUCUUCUUGCAAUUGCUCUUGCAAUACGGAAGUAUCUUUAACAAUCAUAGUUAGAUUACUAAUAACAUCUUCACCAACAUAGGAAUUGGACAUGAUAUGAAGUUGAAAACUGAAUGUGCCUGCGACUGGAGGAACCUGGAAAGGUAUUCUAAAUGUACGCAAAGUUUUUGGAAUAUCUGUGAUACUAAAGGGCGGUACAAUAACCCUAUUUUGGCGAGGAUCCACUACAUAGAUCCACCAUGCAGUUUUAUGAUGCUGGGUAAAGUAAGGAGCCCAGGCGUAUGGAAGAGUUUCAACAUCUCCCAAAACCACAUCUUUCGAUUGGUGAUAUUUUUCGGCAUCUUCCUCAUCCUUUUUUGUGGCCGUCUCUGUUCCGUCCGUGCUGACUUCUGGGACAACUUCGGUUCCAUAAGAGCAUUUCAAAUCCAAAAUCAAAUUUGCAAUUGCUCCCACAGUGAUAUACUCAUCAUCGUCAACCAAAACCUUUGCUGCGACCACGGAAAUUCGAGGAAUGCCAUUUGCUAUCUCGCGCAUUUCUUUAAGCUGGUUUUUGG